GGCUUUGAUCAUGUGAUUUUGAUAACUUAGGGAAUAAAAGGCUGCUUUGCCUUGCCUAAAGAAAUAACGUCUGGUUCCUUGAUUUAGCUUCUUGACAAGUUAUCUACAAUUUAUAUGAAAGUUCUUCUGUAUCUCUUGUCACUUCCUAGCAGUUCUGAUGUAGAAAAUGGGUUCCUUCAAGUGCUUAUCCACAGGGAGAAGCUGGCUAGGGAACAGUCACUAGAGAAUAAGCAACAAGUCUCCAGUGGCUACGUGGGAAUACCCACUCUGCUUAAUCUUAUCACGCUCUUAGAGGGGUAUGUGUUUUUCCAAAGGAUACUGUGCAUUUGGUGUCUUAGGGCUUAAUCUCACGACCAGGAUGAUACAGCUUAUCAAGAUACUAAAUGGUGUAUAGUUGACUGUGCAAUGCCCAUGGACCCUGUCAAAAGCAAAAUCAUAAUAUGACUUCACUUAAUUCUCAUUUUUUUGUAAGCAACUUCUUGGAGAACAUAUGAUAUUGAAGCUCUGGAGUCUCCUAAUGUUAACUUCAGUUUCAAAACCACCACUAUUUUGACACUUAAAACAUCAGUUCCUUGCCAUCAUCUUGCUGUGACUGCACUGUGCCAUCUUGUCUGAGAGGAGGUUGUGUGUUUUCUUUUAAAGGCUGUGCUUAAUCUAGUUAUGGAAGGUCAAACAGUCUCAGGAUAUGGUCUGCAUGUUAGCACUGAGUCAUCCCCGGGGAUCCAGAAGAAUUCAUUUGGAGAAGAAAGCAGAAGAAGCUGCCCUGAGCCACCGCAAGUGAUCAAUCACAAUUACACUAGCAAGGAUGAACACUUAAGAGCCUGGUGCAAACCCCUGUGCUGCUGAAUGCUUCGACGAUGGUAUGCAAGAAAACAGGAAGGUGGAAAGAAAGGCAAAGCAAUCAUGCUGUUCAUCUGUGUUCCCAAAACUCUGGACCUUUUUGACCCCUCUGAAGCAAAACUGACACAGGGCAGUUUUUCAAGCUUUUAAUUUUCUACAGUCUGUAGAAGCAGGCAACCUGUUUGACUGGAAAUGCCUCAAGGAAGGUGAUGUGGGGAGGAGCCAAUACUUCCUCAGGCACCAGGAGGGAGCCAUUACAAGUAAUCAGGCCACCAGAAGAGCUCCAGUGGCAGCUUGUGUUUUCUUGGGUAUCAAAGCCAGUCUGCUCUCCAGUGCAGAGGUAUUAGACCAGGCUUGGGUAAUUGCAGUGCUCACAGACCACAGUAAAAUUCUGCUGUAUGCAGUCCAUAGGAAAAUGUGUGGCACUGGGUUUUGGGCUCCCAUAGCCUCCAGUUAGAAAAGCCAAUAUCUUCCAAGCACAGAUUAAAAAGAGGCCAAGUUGUGUAGCUUAGAAAGUGAUUAGAAAUUCAUUAAAGGGAGCUGUAAGUGUUAAGUCUAAAGAAGUCAUGAUCUACUUAUUGAUAGUCUGUGAAUACAAAGAGAUGAAAUACAUCAGAUAGUUUAUCUGUUGUACAGGAUGUGCUUUGUUCUAGCUGCUAUUUUUGCUAUAUAAUUUAUUUCUCCCUCAUUGAUUUUCCCUUUCAUACUGUUUCCUUCUUUUUAAGAUUAUUUCAUAUUUGUCUAUAUUUUUUUCUUAAUGCAUUAUGGGCAUGAAAAAAAUUAAUUAAAAUACUGAGAUG
rnacentral:lncRNA from 7 species